rnacentral:rRNA from 1 species
UACCUGCAGCUCAAGUGGUGACCACUAUUAUUGGGCCUAAAACGUUCGUAGCCGGUUUAUUAAAUGCUUGGGUAAAUCGUGUAGCUUAACUAUACGAAUUCCGGGUAGACUGAUAGACUUGAGACCGGGAGAAGCUAGAGGUACUCCUGGGGUAGAGGUGAAAUUCUGUAAUCCUGGGGGGACCACCAGUGGCGAAGGCGUCUAGCUAGAACGGGUCUGACGGUGUGGAACGAAGCCCUGGGGCGCAAACCGGAUUAGAUACCCGGGUAGUCCAGGGUGUAAACGCUGCUUGCUUGAUGUUAGUUGGGCUCCGAGCCCAAUUAGUGUCAGAGAGAAGUUGUUAAGCAAGCUGCCUGGGAAGUACGAUCGCAAGAUUGAAACUUAAAGGAAUUGGCGGGGGAGCACAGCAACGGGUGGAGCGUGCGGUUU